GGGCCGGUAGCUCAGUGGUAGAGCAUCGGACUUUUAAUCCGUUGGUCGUGGGUUCGAUCCCCACCCGGCUCACCA
rnacentral:tRNA from 1 species